rnacentral:rRNA from 1 species
UAAACCUCAGCAAUUGACGUUACCUGCAGAAGAAGCACCGGCUAACUCCGUGCCAGCAGCCGCGGUAAGUACGGAGGGUGCAAGCGUUAAUCCGGAAUUACUGGGCGUAAAGCGCAACGCAGGCGGUCUGUCAAGUCGGAUGUGAAAUCCCCGGGCUCAAACCUGGGAACUGCAUUCGAAACUGGCAGGCUAGAGUCUUGUAGAGGGGGGUAGAAUUACCAGGUGUAGCGGUGAAAAUGCGUAGAGAUCUGGAGGAAUACCCGGUGGCGAAGGCGGCCCCCUGGACAAAGACUGACGCUCAGGUGCGAAAGCGUGGGGAGCAAACAGGAUUAGAUACCCUGGUAGUCCACGCCGUAAACGAUGUCGACGUUGGAGGUUGUGCCCUUGAGGCGUGGCUUCCGGAGCUAACGCGUUAAGUCGGACCGCCUGGGGAGUACGGCCGCAAGGUUA